UAGUUUUGGUCUAAUAAAAGUGCUUGUCCCCAAAGGAUCAGAGCUCUGCUAGUUACUGCCUGUUCUGAACUUCUGUUUACUUUGAUGAUUUUCAUCAGUUGUCUUUGGUGACCGGGAAGUUUACUUUGAAAUUAUUAGAGUGAUAAAUGAAGGCGUAAGCCUGAAUAAUGAAAUAGGACCUCGGUUCUGUUUUGCUGGGUUUCGGAAUGCGAGGUAAUUCUUAAGAGAGACAGAUGAAGAAAUUCGCAAUGAGACGCCAGAGGUGAAAUUUGCGGACAGUCGCAAGACGAACUACUGAGAAAACAUUUGCCAAAAAUGUUUCCAUUAAUCAA
rnacentral:ncRNA from 1 species